rnacentral:lncRNA from 1 species
CUUCACUGCUACGGAAGUGAGGAGCUCUCCGUCCUUCCCGUUUCAUAGACAAGCAAGCUGCAGCCCGGUGAGGUCACGUGGCUGGUAAACAGCAGGCCAGGACCCGAACCCAAGCAUUCUGGAUCAGGAGGCCGCUCUCUAACCAGAAUCUCCCGCCUGCCCAGCAGGAAAUCUAGGUGCUGUGCCAGAAGUUCUGGGGCAGCCGGGAGGCUGGGCAGAGGCACGGCCGGCCCUGGAGACUUUGUUUCAUGCACUGAGAGCAGCUGAGCCAG